rnacentral:rRNA from 1 species
GAUGAACGCUGGCGGCGUGCCUAAUACAUGCAAGUCGAGCGAACAGACGAGGAGCUUGCUCCUCUGACGUUAGCGGCGGACGGGUGAGUAACACGUGGAUAACCUACCUAUAAGACUGGGAUAACUUCGGGAAACCGGAGCUAAUACCGGAUAAUAUAUUGAACCGCAUGGUUCAAUAGUGAAAGACGGUUUUGCUGUCACUUAUAGAUGGAUCCGCGCCGCAUUAGCUAGUUGGUAAGGUAACGGCUUACCAAGGCGACGAUGCGUAGCCGACCUGAGAGGGUGAUCGGCCACACUGGAACUGAGCCACGGUCCAGACUCCUACGGGAGGCAGCAGUAGGGAAUCUUCCGCAAUGGGCGAAAGCCUGACGGGGCAACGCCGCGUGAGUGAUGAAGGUCUUCGGAUCGUAAAACUCUGUUAUUAGGGAAGAACAAAUGUGUAAGUAACUAUGCACGUCUUGACGGUACCUAAUCAGAAAGCCACGGCUAACUACGUG